rfam:Citrus clementina cultivar Clemenules unplaced genomic scaffold scaffold_2, whole genome shotgun sequence.
AAGAGAGCAGCUAAGUGGUUCAAGGCAUAGCAUUAGAAGUGCUAUAUAGAUUUUUGUUUACUAGGGGUUCGAAUCCCUCUCUUG